rnacentral:rRNA from 1 species
UAAGGACAAACAAUUAAUUUAGGAUGAAAGACUAGGAUUUCUUAAAAAUAUUUGAUUGGAGUAAUUACAUUGAAAAUCAUGUUGGGACCCAUAGGGUCCCGGGGGAGGCGGGGGAGUCCGAAGGACUCCCCCCCCCCCGUUAUCUACCCUUACCUGCCAAAAAGAAAAGGGCCUGCCAAGCAGGGGGAAAGGGGCGCCCCUCUGGGGCGCGGAUCCUACGGAUCCUCCCCCCUCGUCCGGCCCCCCUUUUUUGCGUGGGGGAGAAAAAAUCUGGGAACUGAAUCAUCUUAGUACCAGAAAAAGAAAAUCAACCGAGAUCCCAAAAGUAGUGAGAACGAAAAUGGGGAAAUUUAUCGAACAAAGAGGGUAAGUAUUAUACAGUCCCGUAGAUAGAACAUUUGGGGAAAUCCGAAGGAUUCCCCGGAGGGCCCGGGGGAGGACCCUGAGGGGUCCCCCCCUCCCCCAAAAAAAGAUAUGGCCGGGGGGGGAGACCGUAGGUCUCCCCCCCCCAAAAGGAGCCAUUUUGACGACGGGGCCCCGCCCUCUCUAAACCAAAGGAUGGAAAUACCGAUAGUGAAAUAGUACUGUGAAGGAAAGUUGAAAGAGAGUUGAAAUAGAACCGGAAAUCCUAAAAAAAAAGCAGUAGAUCUAUAGAGUCUACGUACCUUUUGCAUAAGUGGUUCGCAAGUUAUUAAUUUGGCAAACUAGAAUCGUAAGGUUGAGGUGUUACGAAAGUGAAAAAAGUCAAAUGAACCCGAAACCAAGUGAUCUACCCCUGAUCUGGCGCGGGCGAAGGGUCCAAAAGGGCUCCGUGCUGCGGCCUAACCGGUGGAUGUGGCAAAAUCCUCGGAUGAAUUGGGGGUAGUGGUGAUAUGCCAAUCGCACUUGGAUAUAGCUGGUUUUCUGCGAAAACUAUCUAAGUAGUGCCGACACUCCCUUAUUUUUGUCGAGUCAGACAUUGGACGAUAAGGCCCUAUGUCUAAUGGGAAACAACCCUAAUCAUUAGUUAAGGACAUUAAUAUAAA